CUACGGGAGGCUGCAGGCGCAAAACCUUUACAAUGCACGCAAGUGUGAUAAGGGGAUCCUCCGUGCUCAUGCAUAGCAUGGGCUUUUGCCAAGUGUAAAUAGCUUGGCGAAUAAGUGGUGGGUAAGACUGGUGCCAGCCGCCGCGGUAACACCAGCGCCACGAGUGGUGACCACGUUUAUUGGGCCUAAAGCGUCCGUAGCCGGCUUAGUAAGUCUUUUGUGAAAUUGUUGGGCUUAACCCAACAGCGUGCAAGAGAUACUGCUAGGCUUGAGACCGGGAGGAGUCAGAAGUAUUCCAGGGGGAGCGGUAAAAUGUUAUAAUCCCUGGAGGACUACCUGUGGCGAAGGCGUCUGACCAGAACGGAUCUGACGGUGAGGGACGAAAGCCAGGGGAGCGAACCGGAUUAGAUACCCCGGUAGUC
rnacentral:rRNA from 1 species